UACGUAGGGGGCAAGCGUUGUCCGGAAUCAUUGGGCGUAAAGCGCGUGUAGGCGGCUCGGUAAGUCCGCUCUGAAAGUCCAGGGCUCAACCCUGGGAUGCGGGUGGAUACUGCCGGGCUCGAGUCCGGAAGAGGCGAGUGGAAUUCCCGGUGUAGUGGUGAAAUGCGUAGAUAUCGGGAGGAACACCAGUGGCGAAGGCGGCUUUCUGGUCUGCUCUUGACGCUGAGGCGCGAAAGCUAGGGUAGCAAACGGG
rnacentral:rRNA from 1 species